rnacentral:rRNA from 1 species
UACGUAGGGGGCAAGCGUUGUCCGGAUUUAUUGGGCGUAAAGAGCGUGUAGGCGGCUUUACAGGUCCGUUGUGAAAACUCGAGGCUCAACCUCGAGACGUCGGCGGAAACCCUCUGGCUAGAGUCCGGAAGAGGAGAGUGGAAUUCCUGGUGUAGCGGUGAAAUGCGCAGAUAUCAGGAAGAACACCCGUGGCGAAGGCGGCUCUCUGGGACGGUACUGACGCUGAGGCACGAAAGCGUGGGGAGCAAACAGG